GAACCCUAUAGGCCCUUGCCCCGCCGAGGGUCCUGAAUUCCUCGCCCCCGGGGUGCUGAAUCCCACAGCCCGCGUCCCAUCGCGUGUGGGGCUGCGACUGCUCGCGAGGCUGGCAGCAGGGCGCGAGCUCCGGCAAGGCUCCCCGGGGGCAGGCGGCGGAGCCCAUGGGCCGCGGCCUAGACGUGCCGGGGGCCCGGGCUCGAGUGUGGCGGCCGCCUGGCGCCUCCUCACCUUCUCUUCCACGCAGUUGACUAUGAUGGACGGGUACUUGCGGCUGAGCCAGCGGAAGAACGCCGGGACUCCCAUAGCGGCACACGGCUGGAGGCGGCGGCCGACCGGCUGACGAGCGUAACCAAAGAGACGGGAGCAGCGGCAGAGGGCACCAGCACUUCCUCCCACGUGCGCGCUGGAGAACGGAAGUGACGUCACGGCGCCGCCGCCGGGGAAGCUGGGAAGGAGGCUUCGCUGGAUGAGGGAGCGGCGGAAAAGGGCCUUGCCGGGCUGUUUGUGGGAGGCGGAGUCCGGCGGCGGACCGGGUGGCGAAGGCUGCAGCUCGCCCUCGGUGGUCCCAGCCCCGGAGCGCGAGGCCGAGCGCGUCUGAGUUGCGGGGGCUCACGGGCGACUGCUCUGCCGGGGCUCCGCCGGGAUCUCCCAGCCCCAGCCCUCCGGCUCCCUGGGCACAGAAUCGCUGCGCUCUGCAUGCCCGGGAGGAGGUCUCCCUUGCCCGUUUGGUCACCUCUUGUUUGGAAGAAAAUGUCUUUUUUUGCCUCUAUGCUCACCCGUCUCAAUCUAGGGUAGAAUCGAAGCAUCCAAACUUACUCGUUACUUCCAUUUCCUGGUUUCUCCUAGUUUUGUGCUGCAGUACGUACCUGGACUAUCAAAAGGAGCAUUUUAAAGCAUUUUACAGUAAUAAUGGCUGCUUUGCACCAAUAAUUUGAUUGUUAUGCAAAUAAAUAAUUAUGAUAGUUACCGAA
ensembl:lncRNA novel transcript, antisense to XRN2